UACAGAGGGUGCAAGCGUUGCUCGGAUUUACUGGGCGUAAAGCGUACGCAGACGGUGAGAAAGGUCGGAUGUGAAAGCCCCGGGCUCAACCCGGGAACUGCAUCCGAAACCAUCUCGCUAGAGUAUGAGAGAGGGAAGCGGAAUUCCUGGUGUAGAGGUGAAAUUCGUAGAUAUCAGGAGGAACACCGGCGGCGAAGGCGGCUUCCUGGCUCAUUACUGACGUUCAGGUACGAAAGCGUGGGUAGCAAACAGG
rnacentral:rRNA from 1 species